rnacentral:lncRNA from 1 species
CUUCAUUAUUACCAAAACAAGAGGCAUUCUAGGUGAGCCAUGACUCCACAGACAGACCUGUCUGGGAUGUGCCUCCCUGAGAAGAGCUCAGCACAAUAUCUGUCUUCCAGAGAGGCUUGUGUGUCUGGUGCAGACAGGACAGACUUGAGGAGCCCCAUCUGCUGCAGUGAGUCAUCGCUUUGCGCCUCCCAGCAGGAUCCACACCUGUUAGCAGGGCGAGAAGAGCGAGCUGCCAGCCUGUUACGCGGCAAUGCUCUCUGUGCACGUUGUAGGGCCAAAUCACAAACAUGAGGCUGCAAUAAAACGCAACAUCUCCGUAAAUCUGUCACCCGCCGGACACGGCUGGAAAUGCCUGGGUCUCACCCUCCUGUGCAAAACUCCCAGCUCAGUGUUAUCAGCAAACUCAGAAAGCCAACAUUUACAAAACCAGCAAGUAUCAGCAGAGUCAGCUAUUGGAAGUACAUGCAGUUUUAAUUUUGAGGCACAGCAUUUGUUAUGUUUUGAUGAUGGCUUCUGAGUGCAACAAGCUCCUGAGUUUUUCCUCUUGCUGUGCAAGGCUGCUGUAUGACUGCAAUUUCAUUCAAAGAACAAUGAGGAAUUCCCUGGUAAAGACCAAACAAAGAAAAUAAAGGAAAAACGGUUCAUCUGAAGAAGAGCUCU